rnacentral:tRNA from 1 species
UCCCUUGAGGUGUAAGAGGUUGCACACCCGGUUGUUACCCGGGAGGCACCAGGUUCGAGCCCUGGCGGGGGAG